GUGCCAGCAGCUGCGGUAAUACGAAGGGGGCAAGCGUUGUUCGGAAUUACUGGGCGUAAAGGGCGCGUAGGCGGUCUAUCAAGUCAGGCGUGAAAUUCCCGGGCUCAACCUGGGGGCUGCGCUUGAUACUGAUGGACUUGAAUGCGGGAGAGGAUAGUGGAAUUCCCAGUGUAGAGGUGAUAUUCUUAGAUAUUGGGAAGAACACCAGGGGCGAAGGUGGCGAUCUGGCCCGUGAUUGACGCUGAGGCGCGAA
rnacentral:rRNA from 1 species